CAUGCUUGCUCUAUGGUUCCAGGUUCCAUGAAGUGAUAUGUUACAAGACAUAUCGAUCUGCAACAGAAUCUGAGCAUUUUUUUCCCAGUCAGUGCUCAUGAAAAGGAAGUACAAAGAGUAAAGAGAGUUAAGGAAGAGAGCCUACCCAGUGUGGAAGCCAAUAGCAUAAAGCACAGCCUGGGAAAGAAGAUGACACAGGAGAGAAAGAAAGACUUAAUCGUAAUGAAAUGAUGCAACUCAUGAAUCCAACCAUGGCUGAAGACAUAAUUUUUCUGGAGGUUUCAUUGAUGAGCCAGCAUCAUCAGAUGAUCAUGGCUUCCAGAUUAUAUCACCUAAACAAUUGAAAUCGAGGUUAUGCACCUGAUAAAACAAGUCUUAGGAAAUAGAAAAAAAAAUGGAGGGUACCUCUUAUUUACAGAGUAUGUGUUUUCAACCUCAUUGCAUGGAUAUCCAAUUGUUUACUUGACUUCUCUUAGGUAUUUCAAAGGUACUUAUGUCCACAGUCAUUCUAUGACCUCCUCUCAAAGCCUGGUCCUUUACUGUUCCUUAUUUUGUGACUAGCACCACCAUCUAUCCAGUUGCAUAAUCCAGAAAUCUGGGGUGAAUCCUUAUCUUCCCUCUAUCUUACUCCCAACACCCAAUACAGCACCCUUCAUGUUGAUUUUACCUCAUAAAUGUGUCUUGAAUUUAUCGGCUUAGUCUCACCCAU